rnacentral:rRNA from 1 species
GACGAACGCUGGCGGCGUGCCUAAUACAUGCAAGUAGAACGCAGUUGCGAACGGGUGAGUAACGCGUAGGUAACUGCCUGGUAGCGGGGGAUAACUAUUGGAAACGAUAGCUAAUACCGCAUACUACCAGAUGGACCUGCGUUGUAUUAGCUAGUUGGUGAGGUAACGGCUCACCAAGGCGACGAUCCGUAGCUGGUUUGAGAGGACGACCAGCCACACUGGGACUGAGACACGGCCCAGACUCCUACGGGAGGCAGCAGUGGGGAAUUUUGGACAAUGGGGGAAACCCUAAUCCAGCCAUCCCGCGUGUGCGAUGAAGGCCUUCGGGUUGUAAAGCACUUUUGGCAGGAAAGCGGUACCUGCAGAAUAAGCACCGGCUAACUACGUGCCAGCAGCCGCGGUAAUAC